ACUAAGCGUACACGGUGGAUGCCCUGGCAGUCAGAGGCGAUGAAGGACGUGCUAAUCUGCGAUAAGCGUCGGUGAGGUGAUAUGAACCGUUAUAACCGGCGAUUUCCGAAUGGGGAAACCCAGUGUGUUUCGACACACUAUCAUUAACUGAAUCCAUAGGUUAAUGAGGCGAACCGGGGGAACUGAAACAUCUAAGUACCCCGAGGAAAAGAAAUCAACCGAGAUUCCCCCAGUAGCGGCGAGCGAACGGGGAGGAGCCCAGAGCCUGAAUCAGUGUGUGUGUUAGUGGAAGCGUCUGGAAAGGCGCGCGAUACAGGGUGACAGCCCCGUACACAAAAAUGCACAUACUGUGAGCUCGAUGAGUAGGGCGGGACACGUGGUAUCCUGUCUGAAUAUGGGGGGACCAUCCUCCAAGGCUAAAUACUCCUGACUGACCGAUAGUGAACCAGUACCGUGAGGGAAAGGCGAAAAGAACCCCGGCGAGGGGAGUGAAAAAGAACCUGAAACCGUGUACGUACAAGCAGUGGGAGCCUCUUAAUGGGGUGACUGCGUACCUUUUGUAUAAUGGGUCAGCGACUUAUAUUCUGUAGCAAGGUUAACCGAAUAGGGGAGCCGAAGGGAAACCGAGUCUUAACUGGGCGUUUAGUUGCAGGGUAUAGACCCGAAACCCGGUGAUCUAGCCAUGGGCAGGUUGAAGGUUGGGUAACACUAACUGGAGGACCGAACCGACUAAUGUUGAAAAAUUAGCGGAUGACUUGUGGCUGGGGGUGAAAGGCCAAUCAAACCGGGAGAUAGCUGGUUCUCCCCGAAAGCUAUUUAGGUAGCGCCUCGUGAAUUCAUCUCCGGGGGUAGAGCACUGUUUCGGCAAGGGGGUCAUCCCGACUUACCAACCCGAUGCAAACUGCGAAUACCGGAGAAUGUUAUCACGGGAGACACACGGCGGGUGCUAACGUCCGUCGUGAAGAGGGAAACAACCCAGACCGCCAGCUAAGGUCCCAAAGUCAUGGUUAAGUGGGAAACGAUGUGGGAAGGCCCAGACAGCCAGGAUGUUGGCUUAGAAGCAGCCAUCAUUUAAAGAAAGCGUAAUAGCUCACUGGUCGAGUCGGCCUGCGCGGAAGAUGUAACGGGGCUAAACCAUGCACCGAAGCUGCGGCAGCGACAUUAUGUGUUGUUGGGUAGGGGAGCGUUCUGUAAGCCUGUGAAGGUGGCCUGUGAGGGUUGCUGGAGGUAUCAGAAGUGCGAAUGCUGACAUAAGUAACGAUAAAGCGGGUGAAAAGCCCGCUCGCCGGAAGACCAAGGGUUCCUGUCCAACGUUAAUCGGGGCAGGGUGAGUCGACCCCUAAGGCGAGGCCGAAAGGCGUAGUCGAUGGGAAACAGGUUAAUAUUCCUGUACUUGGUGUUACUGCGAAGGGGGGACGGAGAAGGCUAUGUUGGCCGGGCGACGGUUGUCCCGGUUUAAGCGUGUAGGCUGGUUUUCCAGGCAAAUCCGGAAAAUCAAGGCUGAGGCGUGAUGACGAGGCACUACGGUGCUGAAGCAACAAAUGCCCUGCUUCCAGGAAAAGCCUCUAAGCAUCAGGUAACAUCAAAUCGUACCCCAAACCGACACAGGUGGUCAGGUAGAGAAUACCAAGGCGCUUGAGAGAACUCGGGUGAAGGAACUAGGCAAAAUGGUGCCGUAACUUCGGGAGAAGGCACGCUGAUAUGUAGGUGAAGCGACUUGCUCGUGGAGCUGAAAUCAGUCGAAGAUACCAGCUGGCUGCAACUGUUUAUUAAAAACACAGCACUGUGCAAACACGAAAGUGGACGUAUACGGUGUGACGCCUGCCCGGUGCCGGAAGGUUAAUUGAUGGGGUUAGCGGCAACGCGAAGCUCUUGAUCGAAGCCCCGGUAAACGGCGGCCGUAACUAUAACGGUCCUAAGGUAGCGAAAUUCCUUGUCGGGUAAGUUCCGACCUGCACGAAUGGCGUAAUGAUGGCCAGGCUGUCUCCACCCGAGACUCAGUGAAAUUGAACUCGCUGUGAAGAUGCAGUGUACCCGCGGCAAGACGGAAAGACCCCGUGAACCUUUACUAUAGCUUGACACUGAACAUUGAGCCUUGAUGUGUAGGAUAGGUGGGAGGCUUUGAAGUGUGGACGCCAGUCUGCAUGGAGCCGACCUUGAAAUACCACCCUUUAAUGUUUGAUGUUCUAACGUGGGCCCGUAAUCCGGGUUGCGGACAGUGUCUGGUGGGUAGUUUGACUGGGGCGGUCUCCUCCUAAAGAGUAACGGAGGAGCACGAAGGUUGGCUAAUCCUGGUCGGACAUCAGGAGGUUAGUGCAAUGGCAUAAGCCAGCUUGACUGCGAGCGUGACGGCGCGAGCAGGUGCGAAAGCAGGUCAUAGUGAUCCGGUGGUUCUGAAUGGAAGGGCCAUCGCUCAACGGAUAAAAGGUACUCCGGGGAUAACAGGCUGAUACCGCCCAAGAGUUCAUAUCGACGGCGGUGUUUGGCACCUCGAUGUCGGCUCAUCACAUCCUGGGGCUGAAGUAGGUCCCAAGGGUAUGGCUGUUCGCCAUUUAAAGUGGUACGCGAGCUGGGUUUAGAACGUCGUGAGACAGUUCGGUCCCUAUCUGCCGUGGGCGCUGGAGAACUGAGGGGGGCUGCUCCUAGUACGAGAGGACCGGAGUGGACGCAUCACUGGUGUUCGGGUUGUCAUGCCAAUGGCACUGCCCGGUAGCUAAAUGCGGAAGAGAUAAGUGCUGAAAGCAUCUAAGCACGAAACUUGCCCCGAGAUGAGUUCUCCCUGACUCCUUGAGAGUCCUGAAGGAACGUUGAAGACGACGACGUUGAUAGGCCGGGUGUGUAAGCGCAGCGAUGCGUUGAGCUAACCGGUACUAAUGAACCGUGAGGCUUAACC
rnacentral:rRNA from 1 species